rnacentral:lncRNA from 1 species
CAUCUACUACAAGUUUGGAUACUGUAUGCUACUUGUAAUUAUAAUGAUAUUGCUUAAAUUUCAUAUCAGGUUCCGUCACAGACCUGGAGUUGGAAACAAGUGGUCGUUUCAAGUAUUUAUUCUUUGCUAUUGGAGCAUCCAUUCAAGCAUGGCACCAUUGUUUUCCAAUCAUUGUAAUCGAUGGCACGUUCAUACAAUCAACUUACGGGAGGACACUCCUGAUAGCAAGCACACGGGAUGCAAACAGAAACAUUGUAUCGAUUGUUUUUGCAGUGGUUGAC